GUUCCCUCCCAUCCCCAAAUCCAAUGUUUACCCCCUAUUUUUUUUUCCCUUCUUUGUCUUUGACAUCUGAAAAUUGGAACUCUGUACCAAAAAUUCAUCGCACGUCUUUCACUAGGCCGUGAAUUAGGGUCGACAAUCUUAUCAAAGUUGGAAGGAAACCCAGAAACCAUUAGGGUAAUUGAUUAUCUUUGUAAAAUUUGGGGAAACUGAUGGAUAACGCCGCUAAGUUCAUGUGUAUCUAUCCUAUCUCAACUCCGGUGAAGAAUCAUCAUACAUCCUGAACUCGGUACUUCAAUCUUAUGCCGUUCAACAACGUGUGGGCCCAUUCCAUAAGCAUUCAUGGUUCACAGGCCCCAAGAUCGAGCAAACACAUGCACAUAAAUUGGAGUUCAGCCUUCAAGAUUUAUACUUGAUUCAGUUCAGCCAAUGGUCCAGCUUUACGCUUUCUAAUUGGUGAUUGGGUUCUUCAUUUUUCAUCUUAUUUGAGCUGGAAUAUAUGACAUAAGAGGCUCGAGGCUCAUUAUAUUUGCACUAGACAAAACAAUCAAUAUGUGGAAAGAAGAUGAAAACGCCACUCCUGAAACUAACCUGGUCAACUUCAAGCCCCCCUACAGACAUUGGUGGGUCCUAGUUUACUACCAGGAGAUAGAGAAGGAGCAUAUUUGUGAUUUUAGGCUGUUUUUCGAUGGGGAACUUUUCCAACAGGGUAAGAUAUUAAGAGAAACUUUAGAGAUAAGUUCUAUGACAGCGAAAUUCUCAUCGAAAAGAACAUUUAGACUCCUUGCGUAAACAUUAUUUGGAAUAUGUUACUUACACAAUGUUUUGUUAACAUUUGGAACAUGUAUCGGAUCGAACUUACUAUUGAUGUUGUAAUAUUAUGAUUUCUACAUUUACAAUUUCUUGAUAUUGGUUUUAUAAUCUUAUUUGG
rnacentral:lncRNA from 1 species